ACUGAACGCUGGCGGCAGGCUUAACACAUGCAAGUCGAGCGGAUCGGCGGACGGGUGAGUAAUGCCUAGGAAUCUGCCUGGUAGUGGGGGAUAACGUCCGGAAACGGGUGCUAAUACCACAUACUAUCAGAUGAGCCUAGGUCGGAUUAGCUAGUUGGUGGGGUAAAGGCCUACCAAGGCGACGAUCCGUAACUGGUCUGAGAGGAUGAUCAGUCACACUGGAACUUAGACACGGUCCAGACUCCUACGGGUGGCAGCAGUGAGGAAUAUUGGACAAUGGGCGAAAGCCUUAUCCAGCCAUGCCGCGUGUGUGAAGAAGGUCUUCGGAUUGUAGAGCACUUUAAGUUGGGAGACGUUACCAACAGAAUAAGCACCGUCUAACUUCGUGCCAGCAGCCGCGGUAAUUC
rnacentral:rRNA from 1 species